GGAUGGCGGGCAGCAGGGCUGGCCAUCGCCUGCACUGGCUCAGAGGGAGGCCCUGGCCUUUGAUCGUGGGUGGAGCCACUGAGGUUUGGGCCUAGCAGCCUCGCUAGUUAGCCUCGGGUAAGAGGCGGGAGGGAGCAAAACAGCUCAUCUGGCAGUCUGUCUCUGAGAGUCCAGAGCAGCCAAGGACUCAGAGGGCUCUGGGUACCAUGGCCCCCUGUGCCCGCCUCACUGGGGUUUCUGAUGGAGCUCUGGGGGGUGGGGAGGAGCGAGGGGGCUGAGCCCUUGAUCUGCUGAUGAGAGGAUGCUGCACGUGUCUUCCCAAUGUGCUUAGCGAAUUUGCCAGCUCGUGCUCACCAAGUGUAAGACUUCAAGCACCCUCCACUCCCAGUGCAUGUGCACACACACCCACGCAUGCAUGCAUGCACACAUGCACACACGCACACACACCCAUAUGCACGCACACAAUGCACUCAUGUACAGACACAUGUGUGUGCAUACACACAUCCAUGCACACACACUUAUAUACACAUACCACACAUGUAUGCACACGCGCACACACAUGCACUCACACACACCUAUACACAUAUAUAUAUGCAUAUUCAUGCACGCCUGUACCCGCACUCAUGCACAAACAUAUGCACAUGCGCACAUGCACACACCUACACACACAUAUACAUGCAUAUUCAUGCACACCUGCACCCACACAUGUAUGCACACGCGCACACACAUGCACUCACACACACCUAUACACAUAUAUAUAUAUGCACAUUCAUGCACGCCUGUACCCGCACUCAUGCACAAACGCAUGCACACGCACACACCUAUACACACAUAUACAUGCAUAUUCAUGCACACCUGUACCCGCACUCAUGCACAAACGCAUGCACACGCGCACAUGCACACACCUAUACACACAUAUACAUGCAUAUUCAUGCACACCUGCACCCACACAUGUAUGCACACGUGCACACACAUGCACUCACACACACCUAUACACACAUAUACAUGCACAUUCAUGCACGCCUGUACCCACACAUGCACAAGCGCAUGCACACACAUGCACGCACACACCUAUACACACAUAUACAUGCACAUUCAUGCACACCUGUACCCUCACACAUGCACAAACGCAUGCACAUGCAUGCACGCACACAUGCACACAU
rnacentral:lncRNA from 1 species